UAGCACAAAAAAUACAAACUUACACCAACACACACAUCUGAUUUCUCUCACCUCUCACACUCUUCUCUCCAAACCAGCCUCUCCAUCACCGCCACCCACCGGCGAACCAGUCACUGCGCCGUCUCCCUUUUCUCUCCCCAUUUUUCAACCGCGCCGCCCCGUUCUAGCCACAGCCGCUGCUAAAACAGCCGCAAACCACAAGCCCAACAACUACCCUUUUCCGGCAAACCCACAACCACGCUUCCCGUCCCCUUGUUUCCCCUCUUUCCCACUGCCAUCCCCACAAAACCACCAUCACUGCCGGCAAGCCCCUCUUCUCCGUCGCUGCUUCGCCGGAAGUGAAGACCGGCGAGCCCUCAUCAUGGACGGACGAGGACAAACGGCGUAAGGAUCGGAAGGCUCAAAGGAUCAGAAGGCUCUAUCUCAGAUCCACCUUUAUUUAUCCAAUCAGAUUCUACAGGAUGUUUUGAAGGAGACUACUGCCACUGCGUUGUGGUUGAAAUUGGAAUCGCUGUGUAUGACGAGGAGCCUAACAAGUACUGAUGCUCAGUUCCUGGAUCACACUUAGACUCUCAGACUCUCAGCUGUACAGUAGCAGUGUAGAAGCUAUGAUGCAAGAGAACCAAUAAGGAUGGAAGCAAAGAAGAUGAAAUCUGAAGUAAUUCAAAGAGAAGUGUGGCUGGCGACGUUUUUUAUAAGUUAUUAGCCCUGUGAUAAGUUAUUGAUGUGUGAGAAGAUGCUAACACAUUU